rnacentral:lncRNA from 1 species
GCAUAUUUUAGUCCAUAUUAUCAUGAUCUUAUUGAUGUUUAUUUACACCUUUUCUACCUAAUCUUGUGGUUUUAAUCAUGUUUUGCAGAUAUUAGAUGUAAAUAGACAAUCAAGAGAAAAUGCUCUCAAAAAUGCCAAAAAGUGCCAAAUCUGGAAAAACCACCUUCGGAAGCACUUUCGGAAGCCGAAAGUUUCGUCCAGAGCCGAAACUCAACCACCUUCGGAAGCACCUUUGGAAGCACCUUCGGAAGCCGAAAGUCACCCACCUUCGGCGGCCGAAAGUUUGCUCCAGAGCCGAAAGUCCAGCCUCCGAAACUAAGCUUAAGCGGCCGAAAGUCCCCCCGAACAACCUCUUCCUUAUUCAAGAAGCCAAAUCUUGAAGAUCACAUGUUUUCCACUUCAAGCCAUGCACAUUCAAAAUUCAAAACAAGGCUCCACCUUCCUCUUUAGUGCAUGAAGAAGACUUCUUGGACACACCUUGGGC